rnacentral:rRNA from 1 species
UACGUAGGGUGCAAGCGUUGUCCGGAAUUAUUGGGCGUAAAGAGCUCGUAGGCGGUCUGUCGCGUCUGCUGUGAAAUCCCGGGGCUCAACUCCGGGCUUGCAGUGGAUACGGGCAGACUAGAGUUCGGUAGGGGAGACUGGAAUUCCUGGUGUAGCGGUGAAAUGCGCAGAUAUCAGGAGGAACACCGGUGGCGAAGGCGGGUCUCUGGGCCGAUACUGGCGCUGAGGAGCGAAAGCGUGGGGAGCGAACAGG